rnacentral:rRNA from 1 species
AACGUAGGAGACAAACGUUAUCCGGAGUUACUGGGCGUAAAGGGCGUGUAGGCGGUUAGUUAAGUCUGGCGUGAAAGCUCUCGGCUAAACCGGGAGAGGUCGUUGGAUACUGGCAAACUAGAGGACGGUAGAGGCGUGUGGAAUUCCGGGUGUAGUGGUGAAAUGCGUAGAGAUCCGGAGGAACACCGAUGGCGAAGGCAGCCCCCUGGGCUAACACUGACGCUCAUGCACGAAAGCC